rnacentral:rRNA from 1 species
UGAGGAAUAUUGGUCAAUGGGCGAGAGCCUGAACCAGCCAAGUAGCGUGCAGGAUGACGGCCCUAUGGGUUGUACACUGCUUUUAUAUGGGAAUAAAGUGAGGGACGUGUCCCUUAUUGCAUGUACCAUAUGAAUAAGGACCGGCUAAUUCCGUGCCAGCAGCCGCGGUAAUACGGAAGGUCCAGGCGUUAUCCGGAUUUAUUGGGUUUAAAGGGAGCGUAGGCUGUUUGUUAAGCGUGUUGUGAAAUGUAAGAGCUCAACUUUUAGAUUGCAGCGCGAACUGGCAGACUUGAGUGCGCACAACGUAGGCGGAAUUCAUGGUGUAGCGGUGAAAUGCUUAGAUAUCAUGACGAACUCCGAUUGCGAAGGCAGCUAACGGGAGCGCAACUGACGCUAAAGCUCGAAGGUGCGGGUAUCGAACAGG